CAUUGAAAUAAAAAAAAAAAAAAUGAGCUAUAUCUAUACAGCACUAUAUAAAAAAAAACAGGUUACAAGUUCAAUAGUCAACACAGGCCAAUGCUAAGUUCUAUCGAAACAAUAUAGUGACUGGCUUUUAUCAAUUCAAUAGACAGCACACACAGGCCAUUGCUAAGUUCUAUACAAACAAUAUACUGACUGGUUUUUAUCAGUUCAAUAGACUACGCCUGACUGGCCAUUGCUCAGCGCAACACACCCACAGUCUAUUGCUAACUUCAAGAAACAACUUCCUGUCUGGCUACUUAGCAAUCUAUAGAAAAUAUCACGACUGGCCAGUUAGCACUACAACAGACAACAUCCCUGACUGUCCUUUAACCAGUUCGGUAGGCAACAUAAUCACAGGCCAUGGCUAAGUUCAAGAGUUAACAUACUAUCUAGUCAACCUUUAAAAAAAAGGGCACAUAGAACUACCCCACAUAUUAACGAGUUUGAUGCUUUAUCUACCAUAAUAUUAUGAAUUUUAAAGAAAAGUAAAGUAAAAAAAAAUGAAUACCACAAAAGAAUACAGUUCAAUGAUAGACUAUAUCGAAGUGGGAUAACUUUGUCGUAUGUUUGGAAUCCAAGCAUUAGACUUUGGAAAUACUGAAAAACCUUGUGAAACAUUUCUGUGGUUCCAAUCUGAUGCAUAUGGCCUACAUCUCGAUCUGCUAGAGUAAAUCUAUUUCACCACAGGUAUCCUAAUGUAGGUCAGUGUCUCACUCGACGUUUCCCAAAUCACACUACUAGUGUCACUAGUUUCAUUAAAUAGACCUAUGUCUCAUGUCUUUCCUGAGUAGAUGGGCCGGUCCUAGCAAUAGGGGGGCCCUAUGUGAAAAGGAUUGUGCAGGGCUCAGUCUAGGUGGGGAAAAGCAUAAUGUCAAAAUACAGAUUUUGUAUUAAAAAUACAUUCAUCUUUACAAUAAAUUUUUACUAAAUGAAAGCUGACAGUGUUGUUUUUUUAUCGCGCGUAUUGGCACCAUAAAAUGAAACUUUUGUCUAUUUUUGAGGAGUUUUUUUA